CGGGGCGUAGCGCAGUUGGCGAGCGCGCCGGUCUUGGGAACCGGAGGUCGCUGGUUCAAGCCCAGUCGCCCCGACCA
rnacentral:tRNA from 3 species